rnacentral:rRNA from 1 species
UGGGGAAUUUUGGACAAUGGGCGAAAGCCUGAUCCAGCAAUGCCGCGUGUGUGAAGAAGGCCUUCGGGUUGUAAAGCACUUUUUGUCCGGAAAGAAAUCCUUGGCUCUAAUACANUCGGGGGAUGACGGUACUGGAAGAAUAAGCACCGGCUAACUACGUGCCAGCAGCCGCGGUAAUACGUAGGGUGCAAGCGUUAAUCGGAAUUACUGGGCGUAAAGCGUGCGCAGGCGGUUUGCUAAGACCGAUGUGAAAUCCCCGGGCUCAACCUGGGAACUGCAUUGGUGACUGGCAGGCUAGAGUAUGGCAGAGGGGGGUAGAAUUCCACGUGUAGCAGUGAAAUGCGUAGAGAUGUGGAGGAAUACCGAUGGCGAAGGCAGCCCCCUGGGCCAAUACUGACGCUCAUGCACGAAAGCGUGGGGGAGCAAACAGGAUUAGAUACCCUGGUAGUCCCACGCCCUAAACGAUGUCAACUAGUUGUUGGGGAUUCAUUUCCUUAGUAACGUAGCUAACGCGUGAAGUUGACC